GUAUCUGGCCGUUUACACACAAUAAUGUAUAAAAACAAGAUUCAAAUCUGGAGUCACGCACGUGCUAUUUCACAGGCGCGCGCAUUAUUGAGCUCUCUCUCGCGUCUUCUUGCGUUUAAAUUGUUUAAGUGAGUGUUUAAACUGUUAAAUUGAUAAUGCUUAAUAUAAUUUGAUGAUAUAUCGGAACUGUGGGAAUUUACCUCGUUAUAAGAUGUUAUAAUGUGAUUAAUGCGUGCGCUGAAAUGCAAACCCUGUGAUGUAACUUAAUGCUAAAUUCAUCCAAAUCUGUUCUGAUGAGGAAAACAAACACAUCAUCAUCUUGGAGACCCUGAAGAGUUAAGAAGCAGCCGAGAAGAGUGUUUUUCCCCCUCCCCGGUGCAGAAGAGGGCUGGACUGCAGCGCAGUGUUCUGGCUGGAGCUCUGCCAUUGUUUGAGAUUCCUGACGCGAGUGUCUGGCUGGAAUGAUGUUUUGUGGUGGGAAUGCGGCUGGGAGACUGGCACUGGAAUCAACUUAGUCCUGUAUAACCAUAGUCUGUCUGAACACAUAAUUACAGCUGUCUACUUUUGACUUAUUUGCAGCCUGUUAUUACCCAUAGUCUCGUGUACUUCUACAAUGUAAUCUACACACGUUAUCACAACUUCACGCGUGCACAGAGACAGAAGACAUGAUGCAAACAGCAGAUAAAUCUCUCGAGAGGAAAUAAAUCUGUAACUUCUGAAAUCUGAAAAGACAUUAA